ACCCYUGACUUUUGAAAGGGUGCAAUUAUUAGAGCAACCCAWUCACCUUCGGGUGCUGUUUGCUGACUCUGAAUAACGCAGCAUAUCGGCGGCUUGUCCGCUGAUAUUCCGAAAAAGUGUCUGCCCUAUCAACCUGAUGGUAGUCUAUUAGUCUACCAUGGUUAUUACGGGUAACGGAGAAUAAGGGUUCGACUCCGGAGAGGGAGCCUUAGAAACGGCUACCACAUCCAAGGAAGGCAGCAGGCGCGAAACUUAUCCAAUCUUGAAGAGAUGAGAUAGUGACUAAAAAUAAGAAGACCAUUCCUAUGGAACGGUCAUUCCAAUGAGUUGAUCAUAAACCUUUUUUCGAGGAUCCAGUGGAGGGCAAGUCUGGUGCCAGCAGCCGCGGUAAUUCCAGCUCCACUAGUGUAAAUCGUCAUUGCUGCGGUUAAAAAGCUCGUAGUUGGAUCUGAGUCACAUGCAGUGGUUCACCUUUGGUGUUAAUCGCUGUUGUGACUAUUUGCUGGUUUUCUACUAGGGCUUCGGCUCUCUUUAGUGGCUAGCGAGUUUACUUUGAAUAAAUUAGAGUGCUCAGAACAAGCGUUUGCUUGAAUGGUCGAUCAUGGAAUAAUAAAAGAGGACUUCGGUUCUAUUUAUUGGUUCAGGAACUGAAAUAAUGGUUAAGAGGGACAAUUCGGGGGCAUUCGUAUCCCUGCGCGAGAGGUGAAAUUCGUGGACCGCAGGGGGACGCCCUAAAGCGAAAGCAUUUGCCAAGAAUGUCUUCAUUAAUCAAGAACGAAAGUCAGAGGUUCGAAGGCGAUUAGAUACCGCCCUAGUUCUGACCGUAAACUAUGCCAUCUAGCGAUCCGAUGGGGUAUUAUUGCCUUGUCGAGGAGCUUCCCGGAAACGAAAGUCUUUCGGUUCCUGGGGUAGUAUGGUUGCAAAGCUGAAACUUAAAGAAAUUGACGGAAUGGCACCACCAGGAGUGGAGCCUGCGGCUUAAUUUGACUCAACACGGGAAAACUCACCCGGCCCGGACACCGCAAGGAUUGACAGAUUGAAAGCUCUUUCUCGAUUUGGUGGUUGGUGGUGCAUGGCCGUUCUUAGUUGGUGGAGCGAUUUGUCUGGUUUAUUCCGAUAACGAGCGAGACUCUAGCCUGCUAAAUAGUGGCUGGAUUUUCAAGUCCAGUCUACUUCUUAGAGGGAUAAGCGGUGUUUAGCCGCACGAGAUUGAGCGAUAACAGGUCUGUGAUGCCCUUAGAUGUCCGGGGCUGCACGCGCGCUACAAUGGAAGAAUCAGCUGGCCUAUCCAUUGCCGAAAGGCAUUGGUAAACCGUUGAAACUCUUCCGUGACCGGGAUAGGGAAUUGUAAUUAUUU
rnacentral:rRNA from 1 species